UACAGAGGUCUCAAGCGUUGUUCGGAUUCAUUGGGCGUAAAGGGUGCGUAGGUGGCGCGCUAAGUCAGGUGUGAAAUUUCGGAGCUUAACUCCGAAACUGCAUUUGAUACUGUGGUGCUUGAGGACUGGAGAGGAGACUGGAAUUCACGGUGUAGCAGUGAAAUGCGUAGAUAUCGUGAGGAAGACCAGUGGCGAAGGCGGGUCUCUGGACAGUUCCUGACACUGAGGCACGAAGGCCAGGGGAGCAAACGGG
rnacentral:rRNA from 1 species